UCAUCAUGAAUCGAGAGCACAGAUGUUGAAUUCGUCGGCCGCGCGUAAACUCUCUCUAAUGGCGGCCAAACCCCAUCGCUUCGCUAACUUUGCAGAAAUUGUUGGUGCCGCCGCCAAGAAGCCCAGAACCAUGACAACCAAUUCAGGCCAAAACGAUAUGAAGAACGCCUUUUCCGAUUACGCUACUUACCUUAAUAACCUGAAUGACAAGAGAGAAAGAGUGGUAAAGGCCAGCCGGGAUAUUACUAUGAACAGUAAAAAAGUCAUAUUUCAAGUGCACAGACUCAGUAAGCACAAUAAAGAGGAAGUUUUACAGAAAGCAGAAAAUGAUCUAGCUGCUGUGAUGGAUCAGUAUAUAGCUCGUUUAGUAAAAGAGCUUGCAGGAACAGAUUUUUGGAAGUUAAGACGAGCCUAUUCUCCCGGGAUUCAGGAAUAUAUUGAAGCUGCUACACUGUGUAGCUUUUGCAAAACAGGUGCUCUUUUGAAUCUUGAUGAGAUCAAUGCUUCCUUACGAACUCUAGGCGAUCCAUCUAAUGAGCCUUUGCAAAUUAAUGUGCUUGACUAUCUGCUGGGGCUUGCUGACUUAACUGGAGAGCUGAUGAGGAUGGCAAUGAGUAGGAUAUCAGACGGUGAACUUGAGUUUGCUGAAAAGAUUUGCAGGUUUGUGCGUGAAAUCUAUAGAGAUCUGACACUUGUUGCCCCAAAGAUGGACGACUCCUCGGAUAUGAAGCACUUCUCAGAUAUGAAGCAAAAGAUGGAUGUAAUGCUCCAAAGUGUAAUGAAAAUAGAAAACGCUUGCUAUAGCGUCCAUGUCAGAGGGUCAGAGUAUAUUCCAUUCCUCGGAUCUGAAGAUACCAGCUUUUCUAUGCUGGGUGUACCCGAGAAUGAGUGACAGAUUCUGCGAACUGUCAAGUUACGGUCACUGAUUUCACAAUUACCUUUUGCAUCCGCAGUAUACGUUGGGAGAAAAGCAGCAGGAUUUUGAAUAACUAACUAAGUGAAGCUAUACCGUUGAAGGAUCAUUGAUAGUGCAAUCUUGGUCUCAUUGCUAGCGAAAUUCAAGCCAACGCACGUUCUUGGCCCGUAGCCAAAGGGGAGGAAGGCCAUGGGGUUGUUCUUGGUAGCUGCAGCGACGCCCUCUGCAAAUCUCUCCGGUUUGAACAAAUGUGCAUCUUUCCCCCAUAUCUCUUGAUUCCUAUGCAGUGCCAGAGGUGGGAUGUGGAAUUCCAUCUUGGCCGGGAAUUCGUAUCUCCCCACCCUCACCCGCCUCGUCCCCUGCCUCACUAGGCUCGCAGCAGGGCAGUAGAGCCUCAACGUCUCAUUGAUAAUCAUGUUAGCCUUCGUCAACAAAUGAGAAUUAUCUUGUGUUAGUUAAUUGUAAUAGUCCUAUGUUGUAAAAGUUCUCUUACCGUCUUCAAUCUAGGAA